GAGGCGGCGAGCGGCGGACGGGUGAGUAAUACCUAGGGAUCUGCCCAGUCGAGGGGGAUAACAGUUGGAAACGACUGCUAAUACCGCAUACGCCCUACGGGGGAAAGAAGGGGACCUUCGGGCCUUUCGCGAUUGGAUGAACCUAGGUGGGAUUAGCUAGUUGGUGAGGUAAUGGCUCACCAAGGCGACGAUCCCUAGCUGUUCUGAGAGGAUGAUCAGCCACACUGGGACUGAGACACGGCCCAGACUCC
rnacentral:rRNA from 1 species